CCUACGGGUGGCUGCAGUGGGGAAUAUUGCACAAUGGGGGAAACCCUGAUGCAGCGACGCCGCGUGAGUGAAGAAGUCCUUCGGUAUGUAAACCUCUGUCAGCGGGGAAGAAAAUGACGGUACCUGAGGAAGAAGCCCCGGCUAACUACGUGCCAGCAGCCGCGGUAAUACGUAGGGGGCGAGCGUUAUCCGGAUUUACUGGGUGUAAAGGGAGCGUAGGCGGCCGGGCAAGUCUGGAGUGAAAGGCGAGGGGUCAACCCGCGGACUGCUCUUGAAACUGUAUGGCUGGAGUGAAGGAGAGGUAAGUGGAAUUCCUAGUGUAGCGGUGAAAUGCGUAGAUAUUAGGAGGAACACCAGUGGCGAAGGCGGCUUACUGGACUUUAACUGACGUUGAGGCUCGAAAGCGUGGGGAGCAAACAGGAUUAGAUACCCGGGUAGUC
rnacentral:rRNA from 1 species